rnacentral:rRNA from 1 species
UCUAAUCAGUGAAACUGAUCUCUCCGUGAAGAAGCGGGGAUACUCCUAUAAGACGAAAAGACCCCAUGGAGCUUCAAACCCAACUACACCCUUAACUACCACAACCACACAACCUCUUAGGGCCCUGUAUAGUUGGUUUUAGGUUGGGGCGACCACGGAGUACAACCAAACCUCCGCAAUGAACGGGACCACUCCCUUAUCUAAGAGCCACACCUCUAAGAAUUAAAACACUAACAUAAAAUGAUCCAUGAUCUGAUCAAUGAACCAAGUUACCCUGGGGAUAACAGCGCAAUCCAUUUCAAGAGCCCCUAUCGACAAGUGGGUUUACGACCUCGAUGUUGGAUCAGGGUAUCCUAGUGGUGCAGCAGCUACUAAUGGUUCGUUUGUUCAACGAUUAAAACCCU